rnacentral:rRNA from 1 species
CGCGUAGGUGGUAGUGAAAGUCUAUGGUGGAAUCUUAGGGCUUAACCCUAAAACUGCCUUGGAAACUUCAUUACUUGAGUCAGUGAGGGGAGGGUAGAAUUCCUGGUGUAGCGGUGAAAUGCGUAGAUAUCAGGAGGAAGGCCGGUGGCGAAGGCGGCCCUCUGGCGCUGAACUGACGCUGAGGCGCGAAAACGUGGGUAGCAAACAGGAUUAGAUACCCUGGUAGUCCACGCCCUAAACGGUGGGUACUAGGUGUAGGGCUCGUAAGGGUUCUGUGCCGAAGGGAAACCAUUAAGUACCCCGCCUGGGGAGUACGGCCGCAAGGUUGAA